rnacentral:rRNA from 1 species
UACAGGGGGGGCAAGCGUUGUUCGGAAUUACUGGGCGUAAAGCGUGCGCAGGCGGUUUUGUAAGUCUGACGUGAAAUCCCCGGGCUCAACCUGGGAAUUGCGUUGGAGACUGCAAGGCUAGAAUCUGGCAGAGGGGGGUAGAAUUCCACGUGUAGCAGUGAAAUGCGUAGAUAUGUGGAGGAACACCGAUGGCGAAGGCAGCCCCCUGGGUCAAGAUUGACGCUCAUGCACGAAAGGCGUGGGGAGCAAACAGG